rnacentral:rRNA from 1 species
ACACUCCUACGGGAGGCAGCAGUGGGGAAUUUUGGACAAUGGGCGAAAGCCUGAUCCAGCAAUGCCGCGUGAGUGAAGAAGGCCUUCGGGUUGUAAAGCUCUUUUGUCAGGGAAGAAACGGUGAAAGCUAAUAUCUUUUGCUAAUGACGGUACCUGAAGAAUAAGCACCGGCUAACUCCGUGCCAGCAGCCGCGGUAAUACGUAGGGUGCAAGCGUUAAUCGGAAUUACUGGGCGUAAAGCGUGCGCAGGCGGUUUUGUAAGUCUGAUGUGAAAUCCCCGGGCUCAACCUGGGAAUUGCAUUGGAGACUGCAAGGCUAGAAUCUGGCAGAGGGGGGUAGAAUUCCACGUGUAGCAGUGAAAUGCGUAGAUAUGUGGAGGAACACCGAUGGCGAAGGCAGCCCCCUGGGUCAAGAUUGACGCUCAUGCACGAAAGCGUGGGGAGCAAACAGGAUUAGAAACCCUGGUAGUCCC